CUGAGUGCGGGCGCAAGCCCAACCUCCAACCCAUUGUAAUCCGACUCUGUUGCCUCGGGGGCGACCCGGCCUUCGGGCGUUGGGGCCCCCGGUGGACCACUUAACUCUGCAUCUUUGCGUCUGAGUGAUAAAUCAAAUAUAUCA
rnacentral:misc_RNA from 1 species